rnacentral:rRNA from 1 species
GAUGAACGCUAGCUACAGGCUUAACACAUGCAAGUCGCGGGGCAGCAUGGGGGUUGCUUGCAAUCCCCGAUGGCGACCGGCGCACGGGUGAGUAACGCGUAUCCAACCUGCCCUUCACCACGGGAUAACCCGGCGAAAGUCGGACUAAUACCGUAUGUUGUCCAUUGACGGCAUCCGAUUUGGACGAAAGGCUUGGCGGUGAGGGAUGGGGAUGCGUCCGAUUAGCCAGACGGCGGGGUAACGGCCCACCGUGGCUACGAUCGGUAGGGGUUCUGAGAGGAAGGUCCCCCACACUGGAACUGAGACACGGUCCAGACUCCUACGGGAGGAAGCAGUGAGGAAUAUUGGUCAAUGGGCGUAAGCCUGAACCAGCCAAGUAGCGUGCGGGAUGACGGCCCUAUGGGUUGUAAACUGCUUUUAUGCGGGGAUAAAGUGGCCCACGUGUGGGCUUUUGCAGGUACCGCAUGAAUAAGAACCGGCUAAUUCCGUG